rnacentral:rRNA from 1 species
UAGAGGUAAACGGGUGGAUCCGCAAAGUCGGCCCGGGGAAUUCAACUUGCCGUUUGGGCUGCGGGCGUUGGGUCAGGGAUCCGUAAAGACCCGCCUGGCGUUCGGCAGUCGUCGGCGAGUGCACUUUCCUCGGGUAGAGCGCCACGACCGGUUUCGGAGCGGUCAUAAGCCGGCUGGGAAGGUGACUUCCUCCUCGGAGGAAGUGUUAUAGCCCGGCCAGGUCGGCUCGUUCCGAGACCGAGGAUUUGCCGCGUCUCACUGCCCCUGGCUCUCUGGGUGCGUUCGACUGGGGAAGCACUGCUUGCAGUUCUCUCCGACUGCGUGCCUUGAUUGGUCGGGAAGCACGAGGCGCUUCGGGUCAGUGGCGAAUCGGUCGGUCCUCCACCCGACCCGUCUUGAAACACGGACCAAGGAGUCUAACAUGUGCGCAAGUCAUGGGGUUCUGUACGAAACCUAAAGGCGCAAUGAAAGUGAAGGUCAACCUCCGGUAGGCCUAGGUAGGAUCCCCGCGAGGGGCGCACUACCGGCCCGUCUCGACCACAUCGUUGGUGGGGCGGAGCAAGAGCGUACACGUUGGGACCCGAAAGAUGGUGAACUAUGCCUGAGUAGGACGAAGCCAGAGGAAACUCUGGUGGAGGUCCGUAGCGAUUCUGACGUGCAAAUCGAUCGUCAAACUUGGGUAUAGGGGCGAAAGACUAAUCGAACC